rnacentral:sRNA from 1 species
UACCAAGAUAAACACGUUCCUAUUGUACCUAUAAAAUCUACUUCAUAUUUAGUUAGACUUUUCAGAUGCUCUCUAACAGGAUUCGAGUNCUCGAUAAGCACAGGAACCAACACAGAUGUUAUGUAACUUCUAUUUAUAUCUAACUUGCUCACUAGCUGCAGGCAUACAAGAAAAGCUGAGGAGGGAAUUUAAUGAGCUCUCAAGGCUUGCUCACCUUCCCAAGCUGGUAGAGACAGCUUGAGGUUUUCUGCUCUGUGCUUAUUUAAAGUGCGUCAGCAAGUGAAGCUGGUGGGCGGUGUGGAUAGUGGACUGACUUGUUGCUAUGUUUUUUCUAUACUUCCUGUCUCUUUCAC